rnacentral:lncRNA from 1 species
AAAGAGAUAAAAUCUUGGUGAUACCUUCCACAGAGAUUUCAUCAUUUUCUUACCUUUGGUAUUGCUUUUUUUAGGCUUAAGUUACUUACCUUAAACCCAGUAUGACCUCCUUCUUUGAUCCUUUUCUUUUACCCCUAUGUAACUCAAACCAGCUUGGUAGAGAAGUAGAUUUUAAUCUUGAGUAUGAUAAUUUCCUUACUUCCCAACUGGAAAGGUAAUAUAUCUUUAAUUCAGGUUUCAUACAGUAUCUUAAUUUUAAAUUCUUGGAGAAUAGUAUGUUCCUUUUACACGUAGUAAUAGAGGUGGACACGUAGUCAACAGAUCUGGACUGACAUUACUACAAAGGAUGUUUUGUCCUGCUGGAUGUUCACUGGCCU